ACCUUCUCCCUUAUCUCUUCAAUUCUAAUGCUUUCUCUUAAUUCUUGAAUUUGAUUAACUAAAUUCUAGUUUCCUUUCAAAUUUUGAUUCCCAUUUGUUUAUACCUAUUUAAUUUGCUAAAGUUUGUUCAUUUAAUUUUGAUUUUGUUCGAGUUUUGACAGAUGUAGAAGAGUUCUAUCAGCAGUGCGACCCUAUUUAGUGUUCUUUUUGUUUAAUUCCGUUCGAAUAGGUUUUAACAAUUCCUAAAAAUCCUGCUUACAGACAUUAACCAAAGAAAAAUUACACUUACAGAAUCAAACACAAUGUCCAAUAAGUGGUCUUUUAGGAAGAAUUUUGGGAGGAUAUAACAAUAAUCUUAACUAUAUCUUCUACUCUUUUCUUUCCAUGAAUUCGAUUGUAACGAAAAUAUCAUAAACAACAUUAAAUACCAACAAAAUAAUCGAAUCUUUUUAAGAGAAAUCAACAUCAUGCAUCUCAAAAGUUUUUCAGACAUCCAAAAAUGGGCAUUACAAUUUCCAUAUACAGAAGGAAGUAUAAUUUUGUUCCUCUGUGUACAUCAGGUUCAUUUACUCUAUUUUAGUGUUGAAAAAUGUGCCCUUCAAUUUUCAUGUAUUUUGAUAUUGCUUUUGCUUUAUGUGAAAAUAAUAAUUAUAAUCAAUUACCUAUCUGUUGAUACAUCGAUUUAAGUCGUAGAAAGUUCGUCCCUAUUGUAGCAUGCUCAACCUCAUCUGUAAUGGGAACACACCCCUGUAGUUACUUUGUUAAUUAGAUUUAUCAUCUAUGUUGGCUAAUACCUUUGUAGGUUUCACUUUUCUAUAAAAUCAUUUUGGUCAUUUACUUUGUUAAUUAGAUUUGUCAUCUAUGUUGUGGGAUUUCUGCAGGAAAUGGCAUGAAGCACAGAUGCUAGCUGCUAGGCCGCUCCAAAGAAAUGAACACAACAACAGCAACAGUUGCUCAAACGGAGCAGGGCAGUACAAUAGUAUUGGCCAUAUUAGAUAGUGGUGGUGGCAAUGUGUGAACUUCCAUAGAUGGGAUAGAUUUUCCAUGAAGGGUUUUUCUCAAAUCAGUUGGAUCUCAUAUUUGGCAUCUGGAAGGAUGUAAGUGGGAAUGUUCGCUAUUGUCGCAAGGUCACAACUUGAACCUGUUUACCAUUCUUUUUGGCCAUAUAAAAACUGUUUGAUUCUUAUAUAUUUUUAAAUGAUAUUGGUAAGAAGAUAUGGUUAAGUGAACUGCAGGUGUGAAAUCGGUGGAUAGAGAUUGGAAGGUGAGGAAAUUGAUCACGCAUACAUCGAAAUUUUUUAGGGCUUCACAUUGGAUGGUUUAAUUCUAUUUCAAGGUUUCAUUUUUACAGUUUGAGGAUGAUAUUGCCCCUGAACAUUGUUUUUAUAUUAAUAAAAUUCAAUAUUUAUUGUUUUAGGGCGAUAUUGCCCCUCCACUCUUUUAAUAUUAAAAAAAAUUCAUUUUUAGGACCAUAUUGCCCCUGCUUUUAUAUUAAUAAAAUUAAUUUCUUUACAGUUUUAUGACCAUAUUGCCCCUACUUUUGAAUAUGUUCAACAAUUUCAGGUAUUGUCAACAACAAACGUAAAGUACAAAUCUUGCAAAAUAGGUAUGGUGUUAUGGUGUGUUUCUGAAUAACAUCUAGGUUUUAUGCAAUUUAAUUUUUUUUAUACGCCCAAUAUUUUAUAUUUUGUUUUAUGGUAAAAAUCAUACUUUGUUUUAUGGUAAAAAAAUAUUGAGGUUAACAGUGUUUAUCCAAAAUGCUACUACAUACUGUUUUUUUUUUUUU